GCAGCAAGAAAAAUGAGGGACUUUCAGGGGCAGCUGUGUUUUACUAACCCAGUCAUAAUGCCCCUAAAAAUCCUUAUUGUUCUUGCAAUGGUCAA
rnacentral:pre_miRNA from 1 species